UACGUAGGGGGCAAGCGUUGUCCGGAAUCAUUGGGCGUAAAGCGAGCGUAGGCGGCCCGAUAAGUCUGCUGUAAAAGUCAACGGCUCAACCGUUGAAAGCCGGUGGAUACUGUCGGGCUAGAGUUCGGAAGAGGCAAGUGGAAUUCCUGGUGUAGCGGUGAAAUGCGCAGAUAUCAGGAGGAACACCUAUAGCGAAGGCAGCUUGCUGGGACGUUACUGACGCUAAGGCGCGAAAGCGUGGGGAGCGAACAGG
rnacentral:rRNA from 1 species